CAGCCUGCCCAGUGACAAAGUUCAACGGCCGCGGUACCCUAACCGUGCGAAGGUAGCAUAAUCACUUGUUCUUUAAAUGAGGACUUGUAUCAACGGCACUACGAGGGCUAUACUGUCUCCUUUUUCUAAUCAGUGAAACUGAUCUCCCCGUGAAGAAGCGGGGAUCAAAAUAUWAGACGAGAAGACCCCAUGGAGCUUUAAACUUACCACCCACCUCUGUGGUACCACACCAUUCAACACAAGAGACCUGCGUGCUAGUUUUAGGUUGGGGGGACCACGGAGUAUAAUUAAACCUCCACAACAAAUGGGCUAAUACCCUUAUCCACGARACACAACUCUAAGAAUUACUAAACUAAUGCUUAUGACCCGAUAUUCGAUCAACGAACCAAGUUACCCUGGGGAUAACAGCGCAAUCUACUUCAAGAGCCCCUAUCGACAAGUAKGUUUACSACCUCGAUGUUGGAUCAGGGUAUCCCGGUGGUGCAGCCGCUACCGAUGGUUCGUUUGUUCAACGAUUAAAACCCUACGUGAUCUGACAUGGCCUAGCUAGUCUACCCAAGCAAAAUGUAACUUUCAGUUUGACAUCCCGAAACCAAGCGAGCUACUUCAGAACAGCCAAAAGGGCCAACCCGUCUCUGUUGCAAAAGAGUGGGAAGAUUCUCAAGUAGAGGUGACAAGCCUACCGAGCCUGGAGAUAGCUGGUUGUUCGGAAAAAGAGUUUUAGCUCUACCUUAAGUUUCCUUAUUAAACUAAACAAACCCUAAAACUUAAGAGCUAUUCAAAUAAGGCACAGCUUAUUUGAAACAGGACACAACCUGCAACAUAGGGUAAACAAGAGUAACUUAAAUAAAGUGGGCCUAAAAGCAGCCACCUUUAGAAAAGCGUUAAAGCUUAACUAUUCCCUACUCAUAAUACCACAAUCCCUCAUUAACCCCCUCAUCACUACCGAACAAUUUUAUAUAAAUAUAAAAGCUAUUAUGCUAGAACUAGUAACAAGAAACUGCCUUUCUCCUAAAUGUAAGUAUAAACCAAGAUAGACUAUCUGUUGGUCAUUAACGUAAAUGCUAAAUUAUAGCAACAAUUGCUAGAAAAUCCUAUAACCCCUAACGUUAACCUUACACCAGAACAUUACAGGAAAGAUUUAAAGAAAAAGAAGGAACUCGGCG
rnacentral:rRNA from 1 species